GUUGAAGAUCAGUGGUAGAGCUCUUGCCUCACAUGCAUGAGGCACUGGGUUCGAUCCUUGGCUCCACA
rnacentral:tRNA from 1 species